CAAUAGGGUUGCGUGGAGAUUGCGCUACGCACCACAAAAAAAUACGAAAAAUAUCAUAUUUAUUUUCAUACGUUAUACUAUAUUUUGCAUAUCACGAUGAAUCGAUUACAAUAUAAUUUUACGAUUCUAGAAAAAUAAAAAAAUAUAUUCCUAUAUGUUUUUAUCCUUUCUCCAUUUUAUUUAAUAGGAGUAUAUGGAUAUGUUAAAUAUGAUUUAUAGUAUUUAAAAGUAGUUUUCAAUAUAUAAAAUUUUUAGAUAAAAUAUGUAUGGUAUUGUCUUUAGAAUUAAGUAUUUUUGGUCAAAAAAAUUAGAAAUUUUAUCAAAUAUAUCAAUGAUUAUAUAAAAAUUAUUAACUGUACUCACUUUGUAGAAAAUCAAAUUAGAAAUAAAACUGGCAAAUUUGAUUCAAUUUGAAUUGGUCUAUUUCACUCUCUAUAUUUUAACCAAAAUAAAAAAUUGAUUUAUUAAAUAUAAUUUACAGCAUCUCAAAAGCCAAUAAAAAAACCUUUUAUUCAUUUC
rnacentral:lncRNA from 1 species